GAUAAUAUCGGUCACCGAUAAUUAUCGGCCGAUAAUGGCAAUUAUGACGUCACACAGAUAAUCCAGAUAAAACCAAAUUCAACCGAUAAUGCAAUCCGAUAAUUAUAUACUUUGAAAUAUUUUAAUUGAUUCUAACAUAAGCUCUUUUGAGUUAAAUGUAAUUCCUACUUUGGCCUGCGGAUGGCGCAUGUUGCGUUCUGACGGCGAAGAGUGGAGGCGCCACAGAGGAAGAAAUUACUUUUCCUUUGCUGUGGAGUAAAAACAGCUUGUAGCUCAACUCAUGUCCUCUACUCUGUCAUCACAGUCAUGAGCAAGUUGUGUGGGUUGCUGUGUCGGGUCUGUUCUCACUAUGAACCAGAGGUCGAAUGGAAGCGAGCUGAGACCACCUUGUCUAGGCCCUCUCAGCUUGGUUGUUUAACUACACAUCCGAAAGCAGCUGUUGUCUUCACAUAUACAGGAAGCAUAGAGCAGGUAGCAGAGCACAUGUACACACAAAGAAGAACGUAUUUGGGCACACGAAGAAAUCGCACAGCCCAGUGAGAGAGAGCGGGAAUAGUUUACAGCUGCAAGCCUGCACGCACAUUUGUUGCUUGUGGAGCAUCCACAGAAGCAACACAUGCAUCUAACACCUUUUGUACUGUUUAUUGUGCAUUUUCAAUUGUGGUCAAAUACUUGGGGCGAGUUUGUGCGAUUGUUUUUGAUGAUGUGUGGACGCUAACUGAUACAUGCUAAUCGUUUGUGUGGAUUGUUAUUGUUGUAGCAGCAGCUAGUUAUAAACGCAAAUUUCAAUUGCUGCUAUUGAAAAUGAAACUGAUUUAAAUUUAAUUUUUAUUUUAGUUUCUUUCUGCAAGUGUUGAUGUCAUGAGCAGCUGAAUAAAGUCAGAA